rfam:Cricetulus griseus cell line CHO-K1, whole genome shotgun sequence.
ACAUUACUUACUCAGUCGGUAGAGCAUGAGACUCUUAAUCUCAGGGUCGUGGGUUCGCCCCACGUUGGGCG